AAGGCAAGCUCCAGGAGGACAGAAACCUCCAGUGGAACAGAAGGGCAAAAGCUUGAUUGAUCUUGAUUUUCAGUAUGAAUACAGACCCUGAAAGCCGGGC
rnacentral:ncRNA from 1 species